rnacentral:sRNA from 1 species
CUUGGCCUGAAAUGCAGACCUAUUUAUGCAACAAAUUGAAAUAGAAAACUUCGUUACACCGCUUCAUCGAGCGACGUUGUCCUGAAGAGCUCAACAUUCUUUUGUCCAUAAGUAAUUCAUUAUGAUGGCUUAAGUACGCAACAAGCGUUAAUUAUUUAUUUUAUUCAGGAGACAUCACAUGUCUAAAGCAACUGGUAUCGUUAAGUGGUUCAACGACGAGAAAGGUUUUGGUUUCAUCACUCAAGACAACGGCGGUGCUGACGUAUUCGUUCACUUCCGUGCUAUCGCUGGUGAAGGCUUCAAAUCUCUAGCUGAAGGCCAGAAAGUAUCUUUCGACAUCGAACAAGGUCAGAAAGGUCCUCAAGCUGCUAACGUUGAGCGCAUCUAAUUCGCGUUAACGUGAAGAAUAUUGAAAGGGUGCCCAAGGGCGCCCUUUUUUAU